UUCARUGGUGGCCGCUGAAAACUUUAUCCUAGUUGUCACUAGAAGAGAAAAGGAUUCCAUUAAAGAAUUCCUAAAUGGUAGUUAUUCAGAAAACCUUCAGAAAAACAGGGAUGCCCUCUGUUCUAUUCUUGACKUGGUGAUUCUUCUAGCCAAAAGAGGUAUUGCAUUUAGAGGAAGGUGAGACAAAUCAGUUAAGAAAGAUAUUGGUAAUUUUGAAUAUUUCAUACAUUGGCUGGCGAAAUACGAUAACAAUCUGUCUGUUCACUUAUCCUCUGCUGCGAAAAACAUGCGCUAUUUAUUACCACAAGUGCAAAAUGAAAUGAUAGAUUGUCUUGGUAAGGUCAUUCGCAGUACCCUUGUUUCAAAAAUCAACAAGAGUAAGUUCCUGCAGCAUCAUCAGGCGGAUGAAACAACUGACGUCUUGACAAUUAAGAGCAACUAUCUGUCUGUGUACGAUACCUCGACAUGUCAUCUGCAAUCAACAAGGUUGAAGUCCAUGAAGUCUUCCUUGGGUUUGUACCUCUACCCAGAACUGAUGAUAUCUGAUCUCCUGCUUGAUGGGGCAUGGAAUAUGAGUGGGGUUAAUUCAGGACUCUGACUUCCAGGCAAGGAUUAAUAUUACUGCCCGAUUUCCAAAAGCAAGGUACUUCGUUUACCCAUUGCUCAAGCCACUGCCUAAACCUAGUCAUUGUUGCAAGCUGCAAUAAUGUGCGUGARAUCAGCAACUUUAUGACAACAUCUCARCAACUAACACUGUUUUUUCUUACUCUGCCAAGAGAAAGGAUAUGCUUAAGGAGAAAAUGGCUGCUCCUUCCGAUACUGAGGAUCUCCUGGCUGACUGUCCGACAGAAGAGCGUGAAGAAGAAAUGCUUAUGAAUGCAAUUAUACUGCAAAUGCUUACCAACUUUGAGCGACACACGCUGGCUAUCACGGUUUGAUUCCAUCAGUACGCUUCUGGUGAAUUACUCCAGGAUAUAUGAUACCGUAUCUGAAGCCAUGAUGCACAGUCAACAGGGAAGGCAUCCCUGAUGACGCGUCCAGUUAUUUACAUGCCAUGAAAUAGUUCCACUUUAUCGUUUCAGCUGUUCUUACCCAAUAUAUCCUAGGAUAUACASGAACUCUUUCAGUUCUACUCCAGUCAAAACCGUGCGACUUGAUUAAAGCCCACCGGGAAGCAAGAAGCCUUGUGUCUAUUAUUCUAAACGGUUUAAGGCAGAGUGAGGAAAAGUUCAAGGUACUGUUCGAAAGUGCCACCACAGUAGCUCAAACAAUCGAUGUGUUGCCUUCAAAACCGAGAACCACCGGCAGACAGGUCCAUCAAGCCAAUGCAUGUGCCGAAUAAAUUGACAAAUUUUCCAGGCUGAAUUACUACUACCCUUUUCUGGACCAUGUUAUCAGGCUCAUGGAAGAGCGAUUUCCAAAAGAUCUCCAGGGUGCUUUACUGGGUGCUCUCCUAAUACCUGCCAAUCUAGGCCAACUGACUCGGUCAAAAGAGGGUAAAAUUAAAUCUGCGUUCACUUAAAGACCUCCCCCUUUCGCAGUCAUUUGAGCAGGAGGUACUUGGAUGGAAAGAAACUAAAAAGAACAAUUACAAUUGCAUCACCUCACUUACAGAGUAUUUCACAUUUUCCGACAGCAUUCUUAUCCAAACAUCUCUACUGUUCUCCAAGUUGUGCUCACUCUAGCUACCUGUCGGARGCUGCUCGUGUGAACAUAGUUUUAGCUCUUUACGUCGGUUGAAGACAUGGUGCCGGUCCUCUAUGGGCUUUAAUCGGCUGAAUGGCCUUUCAUUAGCCUAUGUACAUGAUUACAUUCUCGUAUAGCCACUUGAGAUUUUACAGCGCUGGGAUGCCAGUGGACACAGAAAAAUUGCCAUUGCAUUCAAAAAUACAUAAUAAUAUAAUAAUAUUUUAUUGGUCAGAAAUUUUGCUAACUUCAGCUUUUAAAAAAGCUAAAGUUAGCAAAAUUUCUGACCAAUGACAAUUCUGAGAGAGCUAGUUUGUUUCAUUUAU